ACCAGACUCCUACGGGAGGCAGCAGUGGGGAAUAUUGCACAAUGGGGGAAACCCUGAUGCAGCGACGCCGCGUGAGUGAAGAAGUAAUUCGUUAUGUAAAGCUCUAUCAGCAGGGAAGAAAAUGACGGUACCUGACUAAGAAGCCCCGGCUAACUACGUGCCAGCAGCCGCGGUAAUACGUAGGGGGCAAGCGUUAUCCGGAUUUACUGGGUGUAAAGGGAGCGUAGACGGCGAUGCAAGCCAGAUGUGAAAGCCCGGGGCUCAACCCCGGGACUGCAUUUGGAACUGUGUGGCUGGAGUGCCGGAGGGGCAAGUGGAAUUCCUAGUGUAGCGGUGAAAUGCGUAGAUAUUAGGAGGAACACCAGUGGCGAAGGCGGCUUGCUGGACGAUGACUGACGUUGAGGCUCGAAAGCGUGGGGAGCAAACAGGAUUAGAUACCCGCGUA
rnacentral:rRNA from 1 species